AACGCGAAGAACCUUACCCCGGGUCUUGUACACACCGAGGCCUUGUACACACCGUGGCCUUGUACACACGGGUCUUGUACACACCGAUGCUAUUCCUAGAGAUAGGAAGUUUCUUCGGAGCAUCGGUGACAGGUGGUGCAUGGUUGUCGUCAGCUCGUGUCGUGAGAUGUUGGGUUAAGUCCCGCAACGAGCGCAACCCCUAUUGUUAGUUGCCAUCAUUAAGUUGGGCACUCUAGCGAGACUGCCGGUAAUAAACCGGAGGAAGGUGGGGAUGACGUCAAAUCAUCAUGCCCCUUAUGACCUGGGCUACACACGUGCUACAAUGGUUGGUACAACGAGUCGCGAGUCGGUGACGGCAAGCAAAUCUCUUAAAGCCAAUCUCAGUUCGGAUUGUAGGCUGCAACUCGCCUACAUGAAGUCGGAAUCGCUAGUAAUCGCGGAUCAGAAAUCCGUGCGCUCUACUCUUGCUGCUGCUAAUUAAUUCAAUAUAUUCAUUCUGUGGGGAUCCCGGGGGGGAUAAGAGAAGGGGGUCUUGUACACAC
rnacentral:rRNA from 1 species